CGUAUAACCGUUUUGCAACACAGUUAUUUUACGUGCUCGUUGGUGAAUCUGCAUAUAGACUUUUGGAUAUAAUUUGAAAUGAAAGUGGACUUAUCUUGGACAUGAUCUUCUUGCUUCUGAUCGCGAUCCAAAUUGUGGGAGGACAUGGGAGAUACCACUAUGUACUAGCCCCAAAUGUAAUAAGAUUCGAAAAUGAAGAAACACUCGUCGUUGGCGUUUUGGGGGAUGUACGACGUCAGCAAAUAUCGGUAUGGUUGGAGUAUCUGGAUAUGGCGUUCAGCAAGAGCACAGUGAUCGUACCUGACGCAGGUAGUGUUUUUCUGAUUUUUA